GUGGGGAAUAUUGGGCAAUGGGCGAAAGCCUGACCCAGCAACGCCGCGUGAAGGAAGAAGGUUUUCGGAUCGUAAACUUCUAUCCUUGGUGAAGAUAAUGACGGUAGCCAAGAAGGAAGCCCCGGCUAACUACGUGCCAGCAGCCGCGGUAAUACGUAGGGGGCAAGCGUUGUCCGGCAUGAUUGGGCGUAAAGGGCGCGUAGGCGGCCCGGUAAGUCUGAAGUGAAAGUCCUGCUUUUAAGGUGGGAAUUGCUUUGGAUACUGUCGGGCUUGAGUGCAGGAGAGGUAAGCGGAAUUCCCGGUGUAGCGGUGAAAUGCGUAGAGAUCGGGAGGAACACCAGUGGCGAAGGCGGCUUACUGGACUGUAACUGACGCUGAGGCGCGAAAGUGUGGGGAGCAAACAGGAUUAGAAACCCGUGUAGUCC
rnacentral:rRNA from 1 species